AUUGAACGCUGGCGGCAGGCCUAACACAUGCAAGUCGAACGAGUGGCGGACGGGUGAGUAAUGUCUGGGAAACUGCCUGAUGGAGGGGGAUAACUACUGGAAACGGUAGAUAAUACCGCAUACCAUCGGAUGUGCCCAGAUGGGAUUAGCUAGUAGGUGGGGUAACGGCUCACCUAGGCGACGAUCCCUAGCUGGUCUGAGAGGAGGACCAUACACAUUGGAACUGGGAAACGGUCCAGAAUCCUACGGGAGGCAGCAGUGGGGAAUAUGGCACAAUGGGCGCAAGCCUGAUGCAGCCAUGCCGCGUGUAUGAAGAAGGCCUUCGGGUUGUAAAGUACUUUCAGCGGGGAGGCGUUACCCGCAGAAGAAGCACCGGCUAACUCCGUGCCAGCCGCCGCGGUAAUGC
rnacentral:rRNA from 1 species